rnacentral:rRNA from 1 species
UCGAACGGUGCAGGAAUAUGGUAGAGAUAUCAUAGCUAGCAAUAGUCUGUAUCGAGGUGCUGCAUGGUUGUCGUCAGCUCGUGCUGUGAGGUGUCGGGCUUAAGUGCCAUAACGAGCGCAACCCUUGUCGUUAGUUACCAUCAAGUAAUGUUGGGGACUCUAGCGAGACUGCCACCGUAAGGUGUGAGGAAGGGGGGGAUGACGUCAAAUCAGCACGGCCCUUACGUCCGGGGCGACACACGUGUUACAAUGGUAGGUACAGAGGGGCGCUAUCCAGCGAUGGAGUGCGAAUCUCAAAAACCUAUCUCAGUUCGGAUCGGAGUCUGCAACUCGACUCCGUGAAGUUGGAUUCGCUGGUAAUCGCGCAUCAGCCAUGGCGCGGUGAAUACGUUCCCGGGCCUU